UACGGGGGGGGCAAGCGUUGUUCGGAAUUACUGGGCGUAAAGGGCUCGUAGGCGGCCAACUAAGUCCGACGUGAAAUCCCCAGGCUUAACCUGGGAACUGCGUCGGAUACUGGAUGGCUUGAAUUCGGGAGAGGGAUGCAGAAUUCCAGGCGUAGCGGUGAAAUGCGUAGAGAUGUGGAGGAACACCGAUGGCGAAGGCAGCCUUCUGGGCCAACACUGACGCUCAUGCACGAAAGCGUGGGGAGCAAACAGG
rnacentral:rRNA from 1 species